AUUUAAAAUGACGACUGAAAGAAACCCAGAUGCUGGCAGCCCCGGAGAAGGCUGUGGAAUGCGCAUCCCCGCGACCGUCUUCCCACCGCGGCCUGUCCUCGUUGCUCCGAUCAGGCUCGAACAUACAGACCCGUUGUCUUAGCCUCUCAAACAGCCAAUGUCACAGGAGUCCUUCUGUUCGUGUUCCGCUCUUCACUCUGUCAGGGAGACGGUGAAAACCUUUCAAGCGCUGUCUUCGCCUUGACUCUGACAGGUGUGAAGUCCCAGGGCAGCUGCUGCCACACCUGAGCUGGAGCCCUGGAGGAGCUUCCUGAGGACCUGUGAAAACUGUCGAGGCAUUCAAACCUUCAUCUGGUGAUGGAUGGAGACAGAGACAGAGACCCACACUGGAGCACUGGAC